UACGUGGGGGGCAAGCGUUGUUCGGAAUUACUGGGCGUAAAGGGCGCGUAGGCGGCAUGGCAAGUGGAAGGUGAAAUCCCUCGGCUUAACCGAGGAACUGCCCUCCAAACUGCUUUGCUUGAGGCCGGGAGAGGUGAGUGGAAUUCCCAGUGUAGCGGUGAAAUGCGUAGAUAUUGGGAGGAACACCAGUGGCGAAGGCGGCUCACUGGACCGGUUCUGACGCUGAUGCGCGAAAGCGUGGGGAGCAAACGGG
rnacentral:rRNA from 1 species